GGUCUCUUAGCUCAGUUGGUUAGAGCGUCGUGCUAAUAGCUUCUCUCCGAAGCCAGUAACGCGAAGGCCAGAGGUUCGAGCCCUCUAUGGACCA